rnacentral:rRNA from 1 species
UAAGGAAUAUUGGUCAAUGGACGCAAGUCUGAACCAGCCAUGCCGCGUGAAGGAUGAAGGUCCUCUGGAUUGUAAACUUCUUUUAUCUGGGACGAAAACGGGAUUUUUAUCUCAAUUGACGGUACCAGAGGAAUAAGCACCGGCUAACUCCGUGCCAGCAGCCGCGGUAAUACGGAGGGUGCGAGCGUUAUCCGGAUUUACUGGGUUUAAAGGGUGCGUAGGUGGGCUUAUAAGUCAGUGGUGAAAUCUCCGAGCUUAACUUGGAAACUGCCGUUGAUACUAUAGGUCUUGAAUUAUCUGGAGGUCAGCGGAAUAUGUUAUGUAGCGGUGAAAUGCUUAGAUAUGACAUAGAACACCAAUUGCGAAGGCAGCUUACUACAUAUAAAUUGACGCUGAGGCACGAAAGCGUGGGGAUCAAACA